AGGCAUAAUCAUUUUUAAUAUUCUGUUAGAUGGAGUAAAAUGAAAAGAGAGUUUGCAAAGCAAGUGCAUUAAUGCUGUUUAUCUGAGACGCUAAAUGUCUUAAAAUUAAAUUAACUAACUAACUAACUAAAAAUACGAUCAUAGGAGUAUAAAUCCACCAUGCAGGAAUUCCACCGGAAUGAUUUUGAAUUACAGGUCCCAAAAUUUGUUGACUAUGGUUGACCGUAGGUUGCGAAAACCUACAUCUAAAUUCGACUAUGAGUGUUGUCACGUAUAGCGCCACGCUAUUGUUCAUAUCGUAUUUCCAUCUCCCUUACUCCCAUGUCGGUCAAAGUUCGAGCCACGAGGAAGCUUUCACUUACUCGUUGGCGUGAUCAGUCGACCGCAUCUUCUUUUAUAUGUUUUUGAGUCUCUGUGGUAAUUAGGAAGAUGAGGUGAUAAGGCUUUCUGCAUAAGCGAGGCGUCUCAAAGCUCGAGGAGACGCUAAGUCGGAUUUUAGACUUCUAUCUAGCACUACCAGCCUUUUGUGUUCCUGAGGAGACUCUGUAACGAUUCCAAGUCUUGAAAAAAACUUAAGUCAAAAGUUCCCUUCAAUUCCUGUUCUCCCACUUUAACGGCUAUUUUGACCCAUCGUUUGCGAUAAGUGUGACUUCCUACCAAAAACUCCAUGCUUCAACCUUCUGUUGUAACACGGUAACGGAGCACAUAUCGUGACAUCGAAACCCGUGACCAUAUCGUGACAUGAUGCCGAAACCCCUCUUUCCAACUUUAGUGCAUCGGUUUAAAUUUCGUGCUUUCUUCAAUUUGCAGUGAUUCUUUUUCAGUGUCAAGUGUUAUCAAACAGUUAUGACAUUACGACCGCAACUUAUGGUCGAUCAUGACUUUGCCAACAAAAUUCGGGCCAAGAACUUCACCAACAUCUCCAUUCAAUCUUGGGAUCUGCAAUAACUAUUUCUUGAGCGUGAGGAAUUCAGGAGGCUUAUCCAGGGUUGCACGGGGAUGAAAUCGAAGGCAAUUUUAGUUUUGGAAAAAAGCCUCCUCGCAUGCAGC
rnacentral:lncRNA from 1 species